CUGAUUCCACCAAGAGAAGGCCCAGGAGGACGAAGAGAAAAAGAUGCUGUGGUUACUAGGCCCAACAAUGCUGGCAGGAACAAGGAGGAGAAGACAAUCAUAAAAAAGCUGUUCUUUUUUCGAUCGGGGAAACAGACCUAGAUCCAAGGCCACAACUAAGGCUAUGUACGGCUCUGAUUCUAGAAGACAACCUUCCAAGAUGCCUGGCAAAGCCACCUCCCUGUGCCACACAGACACACUGGGCCUGUGUAUUUAUUUCCCCUUCAAAGCAGACUGAGGAGGGAGGAGACGACGUUCUCUUGGCAUCACUUUCUCCCUGGCUGCGGAACUAGACACGCUUGAAGAUUUGGCCUGGGCCAGUGAAGCUGAAGUCAAGAAAAACAGAAGGGAUGUGCAGGGUGGGGGGGUCCACUUCCUGCUCCCACGUCAACCCCCAGGGCCUCCAGCGUGCAGACGCGUGUCCUACUCAUCUGCUCCCAUGGAUGACCCUGGUCUUCAAUGUUUAGCAGAAGGGAGAAAAGAAAGCAGGAAAGUGUGCUAUUGAGAUUCCAUGGUGACUUCACUGAUAUUUAGUGAAUAUUUGAUUUAGCCAACAUGCCUUUCUUUAUGUGACUUUGUAUUAAAGUAAAAUGAUUUUUAUACUUUCUAUA